AAUCUGUGAGCCACCACGACGUGGGCACUGGGAACUGAACCCAAGGUCCUCUGAAAAAACAGCCAAGUGAUCUUAACUUCUAAGCCAUCUCUCCAGCCCCAUCCAUACAUUUAAAGUGUGUGUGUGUGUGUGUGUGUGUGUGUGUGUGUGUGUGUGUGUAACUUAUGCACAUCCUAUCAUCUAUAAAUGACUUAUAAUACCCUGUAACUGCUAUGUAAACUGUUGAAUUUUUGAGAGUAAUGACAAGAAAACCCCAAACAUGUUCAGUACAUUCCUAAUAUUUUUGGCUGAGUUUGGUUGAACUUGUUGCUGAGAAAGCUGCCUUUUCACAGGGCUAACAGCAGUGGAUGGUGAGUCUAUUCUUGUUUAAAUAGUUUUACUCUUGAGAGUCUAAUGUUUGGUGCAGGUUAGUUUUAGCUAGGAGCAGAGUUACCUGAGAGAGAGAGGCUUCUUGAAGACAGUAAAUAAAUAUGCCAUAAGGCUUCUCAUUUCCUAAUCAAUGCCUUUACCAUGCUUUAAUUUUAGGCAAACAUCUCUUACAGAACAGCUGAAGGUGGGAAGAAGGUGUGGUAGGGGGCAGGGGUAGCUGGGGUUGGAUGAUGGUUGACAAGGUCCUUACCCAGAGACUGAUGCUUUCCCAGCUGCUUCACUUUUUCCCACCCCCUCCUUCAUCUUGGGGCUCCUCUUCUGCAUGUUCCUAACUUGACAUGCAGGAUGUCAAGACUUUUCUUCAACAAUGUUAUCUUACUGCUUUGACCAUCUUAUUCCAAGUGUAGGAAAGUCACAGAGUGUCUUGACUGUUUUACUCUAAAGUCCUACUUUUCCUGGUUUCCUUCUGUCUGUCUCAUCCCUAACCCUAAGAGCAUGUAAGUGAUUCACAGCAACACAAAUACAGCCAUAUAAACUUUCACAACAUCAAGGCCCAUGGGUGGAGGAUAUCCAGACUGUCAAGUUAUCUGGCAUCCUAAGAGUUCUUUCAUCUUGACUUGGAGCACACAAAUAGCUAAAAGUAAUGGUGGGAUAGGGCAGAUUAGAAAACAGCUUUCCCCGUUUAGCGAGCUUGUUAGCAUGGGUUAUAGGGGGCAAAGUGCCAUGAACUUGGAAGUGAUAAUCGUGUGUGGUCUGUGGAGCAUAGUUUCAUAUAAUUGUCAAGACCUGAGCUUACAUGAACCUCAAGACCAGAAGCCAUUCUGGUUUGAAAGAAAGUUGAGGCUAGCAGUCACUGUGCAAAGCUCGAGUCUGAGAGGCUCUGAGUGGCUCUGAGCCCCUGUUAGAGAGGGUUCAGAGAAGCCCUGGCUUCCUUGGCAGUUCAUAGAUUACUGAGUCACACAACUCACUCUUUACAUUCCAAGCCAAGUCUCCGGUCGCCAGACCACUCACUGCUGUCUGGGAUUCACAGUGAAGUUUACACUAAUGCAUUCUUUGGCAUAGUUACUGUGGUGAACAUCAAAGCCAUAGCUGGUCUACUCAACCACCCUGACUCUGAGACACUAUGCCAGCAUUACUGCCCACUAUAUCAGACUGGAAACCUCGUAUGAAGACAAGAUCACUCCUUUUUGAUGUUUUCAAAGAUUUUUUUGUUCUUGGGUGGGUUUCUGUGUACCUUGUGGGUGCAAGUACCCUCAGAGACCAGAGAGCAUUGGAUCCCCUGGAACUGGAGUUACAGGCCAUGGUGAGGGGCCUGGUGUGAGUACUCGUAAGAACCCUGGGUCCUCUGCAAGAGCAGCCAAUGCUCUUAACCAUUGAACCAUCUCUCAUAGGCUGCCCUUUCUGAUCUUUUGAAAACAGUAGUGAAGACCUCAGCAGGUUUGGGUGUUGCUUUGUCCUCAGUAGAAACCCAUUCACUUUUAAAUCUUUAAGCCAUCCCCAAACAUCAAGACCUGGGGAACAUCCUGGAGAACUUUCUCAAGGCUUCUUCUUCUCUACCAUGAAUGUGGGUCUAGUAUAAGUAUAGAAAUGAAACUAUGGCUGCCAUGGGCAAAAGGCAUCUUUGCCUCCAAUCUGGCAAUUUGAAGAUUUCUGCAUGCCCAAGUUUCAGACUUUGAGUGGUCAUGUGAGACAUGCUGAAGUGAUGGGACUUUCUAUUGGUCUUCAUAUUGCAGCUUAUCUAGAGAUAAGAAACCAUGCUUACAGAGAACAACUCUGGGGCUGAGAGAUGGAAUAUAACAACCAGAGUGCUGUGAGACAAAGUGGAGUAGGUUAAAGUGGCACAGAGAUCUCUUUGGAUUUUGCUGUUUUCCGGAAGGGCCAGUGUGAUUGACUUACUCUGGUUGUCAACUCGACGCACCCGAGAAGGAGGAAUCUCAGCCGAGGAAUUGCUUCCAACAGAUUGGCUUGUGGGCAUGUUUGUGAAGCAGGACCUGCUGUCUCACAGCAGCGCCACACAGAACCCCACCUGCUGUGGAAUGCACACGAGCCAUUUUAGAGCAUGGGGGAAAUGUGGUAAAAUCCUUUAAAAUCUUCCUGACGAGUAAAUUCCUGGAAAGCAAUUAAUGUGGAAGGCUUUCAGGGACCAGAGGGAGUGGCAGAUAGCUUGAAUCCUGUUUCCUGAGUGGUCAGCCACGGACAUCACUCCAAACCAGGUAGCAAAGAGUGUGCUUUUUACAUCUCUGUUCUAGGAAGAACAUUUGCACAACUUCUAGCAACAUUCUUGGGUCAGUGGCCAUGACCCUGAGGCAAUGCUUAGCGCUACAGUGAUCGUUUGACUCCACACGGUACUACAAAAAGUGAAGCAGUGAAAGCCCUGGGCCACACCAACAAGCACGUGACAAGAGAGACGCUUGCUCAUACGACAGAGGCCUGCAUCCCUUAGGCAGAGUACUGACCAUGAUUGGAUGCGAAUGGAAGAAUGUCAACUAAGGAUUGUGUCUAUAUAGAAAAUCAUUAGCCAAACACCACAGGGCUAAUUAAUGUCAUUUGAAAUACUUUCUGUGUAUGUUGAAUAGAGUGCCGCCAUUAUCAUCUGGCCAAACGAAAUGCCUGCCCAUAAACAACAUGGAGCUAUUUAACAGGAUAGCUAAUUACAUCUCGUCUCACAGCCCCAACUGAUCCUAAGCAACAACUCCCUAAGCUGUGUUGUAGUGCAAGGUAGCCUAAGGCUCUGGGGCAGUUACUGAAUCAUGAGAUUUUACUGUUAGAACUUGUUCGGUGUGUUUAAAAACCACCAAAAUAUUGAAUGGAGUAAAGUUACUAGGGAGACCGCAGCUUGGAAAGAGGCAGAGGAGAUCAAGAUAGAGAGGGACACUUCAAAAGCCACGCUCGGGCUCACAGGCACCUGGCACGAAGCUAAGAAUGCUGGGGGAAUGGGAGGGAAAGUACCAAGCCCUGUGCUUUGCUCCAGGUCACCUGGUUCUAUGCGGCACCCUUGUGGGUGGCCUGUGGCAUCUAUGGCUGGAGGCAGCUGCAUGUGUUUCCAUGGUCUUCAGGUGGCAGGUUCUCUUUUUACCAAGCACUUUGUAUAAACUGUUCCCUUCAGCCUUCCUUCUUCACAUACAUUCUAUAGGAGGUUUAUUUUGGGCCCAAGGCGUGCUUCUCUCUGCAUUUGAUCUCAAAGCAAGCUCGUUGAAAAGAGGACCAGAGACCUAGACAAACCUUAUGGACUUGUGUCAUCCUUCUAUGUAUGCAAGAGACACAUUCCAGGUCCCCCCAUAGGCACCCAAGUUCUCACAUGCUCCGCUGUGGCAUUGCCAUAGAUCUGUACACAUCCCAGUGUGUGUAUUUUGAAUUGUCUCUAGACAAGUUUUGAUGAUAUUGCUGUGUCCAUGCCAGGGAGACAUUUGUUAAUGCUGCAUUGUGUUGGGGAUAAAGACAAGGGGAAAGCCACUCAUGCUCUGUGCAGAGGCAUUUUCAGUAAUCCCCCACCAUGGGGGAGGGAGGUCAGUUAAACCCUAGUGUCCAGGUUGGCUUUUUACUGCUGUGAUAAACACCAUGACCAAAAGCAAAUUGGGGAGAAAAGACUUCAUCUUAUGGCUUAUCGUGCAUCAUCCAGCAAGGCCAGGGCAGGAACUUGAGACAGGGACCUGGAAGGACGUACGAACUAAAGCAGAGACCAUAGAGGAAUGCUACUUACUCUCUUGCCUCCACUGCUUGUUCAUACAGCUCAGGACCACCUCCCACAACGAACUCCAUCCCCCAACCCACGUCCACCUUUAAUCAAGAGUCUUUCCUACAAACCAAUCUAAUGGAGGUAGUUUCUCAGCUGAGUGCUACUCCUCUACUAGUUUGUGUCAGGUUGACAAAUACUAACUAGCACCCUGGAUACAGCAGAUGUCAUGGAUACAAAGGGCUGGCUGCAGUGAUGGGACACUGGCCACCUUACUACCUUACUUCCUACCUACGAUGUGUCAAAGUCCAUCUCACUUUAAACCUAAAGGAGAAAAUAAUUUUGAAUAUUUUUCUUGAUUUUUUUCCCCAAAUGGGAUAUGGGAAAAAAGUACAACAUUACUGGGUCAUUAUUGUUCGUUUUCAGAACAAUGACAGAAUCUGAAAUCAUAUGGGAAAUGGACUCUGGGUUGGAACCCAGAACCUUGUCCCUCCCACUUAGGCAUGUGCUCUUACACUGAGCUACACCCUUGGCCUCAUACCUUCAUUUCUAAAAAUAAUGCCAAUGUGUAAUUGUGAGGAUUAAAGUAACAUGGAGACAAAUGAGUACACACUUCAUGUGCAUCAAAGCGGAGUCAUGCUAGGAAUUGCCUGGAGUGGACAUCUGUCUUAGGAGUUGCCAGGGAUGCUCAUAAUGACUCACAAAGUCUUCAGUGUGCUCCUUGACAUACAGUUUGUGUCACUGGUAUGGUCUUGGCCAGCUGCUCUCCAAUGUUUCCUCUAACUGGCUGCUCUCUGGACAUACCAUGAACCCCUCUGAGAACAAGCUUUUGCAGUGUAUCAGGGCCAACACCACUUGGCUUUUGAGAUGCUAUCUAUGUUUUCCAGCUACAGUGGUUUGUGACAUGCCUGGGCCUGUCCCAGUCUAUCCUAUGGAGACUGUUUACCUGCCUUUUUAAUGCUACAUACAUAUUCAGGUAAGCAGCCUGACGAUGAAUGAUGGCUGUAAGAAGCCAUUUCCAACAGUAGGUUGGGGUCUUGGUGGAUCUCAUGAUGCUCUUCUGUGGGGCUUCUGUAGACUUCAAGGACCAGUAAGCAGUUUUCACCCACAUGGGGGUAUGAGAUGUGAGAGGUGUUUUCUUGCUUUGUUCUCUUACAACUUUUCAAAUUAUAUGAAUGUAAUAAAAAGCAUACAUUAUUAAAAAUUUUAACUAGGUAUUUCACAUAUGGAGCUGUGAAGAAUUUCUUUUGGUGCCAAAAUGUCAUAAGGAAAAAAAGUAUGAGCUUUGUGAUUUGUGGACCUGCUAUGUAGGCAAUCUUUUUCAAAGUUGUAUUUUUCAAGAGGUGUUGGAACAUUUUUCUCCAUAAGGAUCACAGGUGGGAAACUCUUCAUAUACUGCUUCUACAAGUUGGAAAUUUUCCUUGUUUGAGGAUAAUGCAGAAAACAUUCAGUCCUCCAUGUUUGGUUGCUUUAUUUCUUCCUUUAGCCACAUUGCAGAGAACUUUCUAGAAAAGAAUUAAGAAUAUGCACCAAGAAACUCAUCACCACAACUGAGCACACAAUGGUGAGCAAGGUUAUCUCUAAAAUUGUACUCUAUACAUUUUUAAUACUCAAAAAGAAACAUCAAUGUGUCUCAUUUUCUAAUUUGUUAGAGAACAUGUCUGGUAACUGAUUAAACAAGCUAUAAAACACGGGGACCAAAGAGCCUCCAAGAACUUGAAAGACAUAUUACUUGGAUAAGCAAGUAACUCAUGAAAGUGAUGCUAUAGGAAAGAAUUUCUGUACAUCCUCCAUGGCUUGGUCCAAGUGAUGAGCCCUUUUCCAGUCCUUCUCAACAGACUUUAUGACCUACGUCGCCUAUUCCUCUCCUUAAUUCAUUAAACUGCAUUAAUUCAAACUAAUUAUCAUUUAAGCCUUUGACUCUAAAUUUCCUGGAUGAAAAUUUUGGAAUCUCUGAGUCAGAUGAACGUAUUACAUAAGUGCGCCCCAAGGAUUCACAAGCAGAAAACACAUCUUAGCGCUCAGUAAUGCCAGGGGACAUUCUUUUAGGGCAUCAUUCCUCCCUGAUUAUCAUUUUAUCUUCGCUCUUCAGUUGCAAGUCUUUCAUGAAGAAUUUGGGCAACGUUUUAAUUUAAAAAAAUUCCACCAUGCUACUUACAAACAUCAUUUUAAAAAACCUUUUAUUCAAUGGUAUACACAUUCAAGUAACAUUUGAAAUUUUUAAAAUAUAUGCUCAGAAGCAUGUGAACCUGCUGCUCUUGGUUAUUUACCUCACACACCCGGCUCAUGGUCACGUGCCCUUCAGGAGCCUAUUCCUGGAACCCCAUUUGGCAGUUUACCCAACAGAGCAAAAUUAAAAUUUAGAUCCUAGCCCCAAAAUGUUAUGUAACCAAAGCUUUGGUUUUUUGUGACCUUGAAGCGCUAGGUCAAGCCAAACAGCUUGAAUGUAAUUGUGUUUAACUGGAAACUCUGUGUCUGUACAUUUUUAAUGUCCCCAGAUUGCCACAUGAGACUCAGUCUUUAAAUGGGAUCCUUCUGAAGAGCAGAUUUCUUUGGGAGACAGGAUGAGGUAAAUAUGUAGAGACUAAUAUGACACAUGACUGUUUUGCAGGAUGACGCAACCAUGCAGUUGUUUUGUGAUUACCAAGCUCAUGAAGAAUGAACAAUAGACAUUGGAUGCAUUGGUUCAUGCUGUAGCCGCUGUAAUCAGGAAGCUGUGGGAGGAAGAACCCAAGUAGGAAGCCAAUCUGGAUACAUAGGGAUAGCCUGUCUAAGAAAACUAAAAAACUGUAUUCUGAAUACAACCCAAUGGCUUAAAGUAUCACUUAUAAGGAAACUGUAAACUUGCAAAACACUUAGAUUAUUUUUCUAAGGUUCCAAAGUAAGUGUAAUCGGUAAAGUUAAAAACUGUGGAGACAAUUAAGAGCAUGUAUGAGUCAGAUACUGGAAGCCUAGAAAGGAUCAAAAUUUAGAUCAAACAUGGGUUCUACUAAGGAUAUGCCCCCUAGCACUGUUUGGUCAAAGACCCACUAAUAUAUCCACCAAUAAUAAAGAGAACCUGUUCAAGUGUGUGUGUGCUGGAAUGACGCUCUUUGCUUUUCCAUUUUUUCCUGUCCAUUUGCCAGUACCAUUCCUUCUUAGUAUUUGUCGUGGUGGAAUGAUGUUCUGAGGACGUCUGAGGUUGGUACUAUGAGAGUUAUUUGUAAUGCUCAACUUGACACAGUGAAGGGAGGGUCAAUGUGGAAACUUCUGGGCUAGGAUGGCCUAUCAGGGGUGUUUGUGGGCAACUGUCAUGGUUACCUGCACAUGUGGGAAGAUCCGUGUGCAGCAUCUAUCUGUGACUUUGGAUCCUGAACUGUUGAGUGAUCAGAAAGUAGCUCAUUGAUUUCUGCUCCCAUUACUGCGUCUUCUCAGCUAUGUUGAACUGUGACCAGGAAUUGUGAGCCAAAAUAAAAAUUGCUUUUUAGGGUUCUUUAUCACAGCAACAAGAAAUAAAACUAAUCUAGAAACUGAACUUUAAGAAUUUAUUUAAACUCCACCUAGCCCAGAAGUUUCCACAUGGAUCCCAGCAGCCAGGAAAUGGAAGGAAAAAAUAUUCAUUCAUGGGGAGACAAUUAUACUUUCUUGAGCCACUGUACUUUCCGGAGUUAUGUCAUUUUACUGAAAUGGAGCCUUAUAAAUGGCAUAGCCCUGGUGUUUAAAAAUAAUGUAAUAUUCUUUGCAGCAUUCUUACAGAAUGAAUGAAGCACAGAUCCUGCUCAUUCUUCCUGUGUCCACUAUCCACACCAAAAGAAGAUCUACCCAAGUCGAAACCAUCACUCCAUCUGUUACUAUCACUCUUUGGAGUUCAGGACCCCAUCUGCUCCCAAGAGAGCAUGGUUGAAGGUCAGGGGUGGAGUCAGGAACAUUGGUUAGCAUGUUCAGCCCGAGUAGCUGCUGAGUCAGCAUCCAUUACAUCAUUUCUGCUCAUUCCCCAGGCCCUUCUCCAGGUCAUGCUGGACUCCUCCCUGCCAUGUGUCCUGCUCUUGGUGUCACCCUGUUCUUUGGCCCCAGUCUCCUCCUGCCGUCCUCAGAUGGAGGCAGACUCCAUGGAUGCCUGUCUUCUGUAUCUGGUAAACAGACACAGGAAAAUUGCUAGUUCAAAGUCAGCUAGAGCCACAAGGUCCCACUUCACAUUCUGAGUAACUGUCCCAGCUUCUGGAGAGCAAACAGAACAUGCUAAGGACCGUGACAUGGGAAGGUCAGUAGAGACAUCUAUUCUCCCAGUGAUGCUCAUACGGAAACAAUGUGUGACUGAAGUCAAAUGGAAAUACAAAAGCGUAUUUAUUCCUGGUCUAUGCAGUUCCUUGGACACCUGAUACCUCUCUCCUGCUAACAAGAGUUUCAACAAUGUUCACACACACAGAUGCCCCCAACUGGAGACAUAUCUAUAAAAAAAAUCUAUGAUGAAUUUUACUUGGAGCUAUAACAGCAAAAGUUCAAACAAUAUGCAUUCUUGAAAAACAGAAGAGUAAAAAAUAAAAGAUUACUGUAAUAUCCCAAACAAACAGAGAAGUGGUUGAUAUAUUUCUCUGAAGACUCUGGCUUGAUUCAUGUGUCCCACAGAGCACCAGGGAUCAGGUACCAAUAGGCUGGGUCUCAAGACUUUAGAGUCCCGAGGGUGCAGGGCGUGAGGAGACAAGGUUGAGCUGUAUGAAACAUAAUAGAAAACUUAAAAAUGAAACGAAGAGCGAAACAGCAGAAGUCAAGCAAAUGGCGGACACGGAGAGACACAGUAAGAAAAUGGCAACAUAUUUAGAUGUUGCUGCCUGCCGUGUGCUGUGGCUGCUGUGGCUACUGCUGUGGGACCAAGAGUGUUGUCUGGAAGGACAGAACACAGCACUGAAAAAUUUUGGUUUCAUGGAGGAAAAGAAGUUAAAGGAGAGAUGGUGUGGAGGAGAGAUGUGUGAAAAUAACAAAGGAAUAUAAAGAGUCAUCAACAAGAUCACGGGUGAGACACUGAAGUAGGAAAGCAACCCAUUCAUUCUAGAAUAAAAAUAGCAUCACACAAGUAUAAAGAAGACUCACCCCAGUGGAGAAAUGGGCCCUCUGGGCAUCAAGAAGGGGCAGGUACUUGGGAAUGCGCCCCCCCAACCCCCGAGCGCCCCAGUCUUUGUACCUUUCUGUUGACAAAGGCCCAGCUUCCCUGCAGCUCAACGAACACUUGCUGUUUGAGGCUAAACUGGGAACCAGAUGAAAAAAAGAGGAGUAACCGACCAGCAUCUAAACAAACAAGAAUAAAUUAC
rnacentral:sRNA from 1 species